AGUUUGACUGGGGCGGUCUCCUCCCAAAGAGUAACGGAGGAGCACGAAGGUGGGCUAAUCACGGUUGGACAUCGUGAGGUUAGUGCAAUGGCAUAAGCCCGCUUAACUGCGAGAAUGACGGUUCGAGCAGGUGCGAAAGCAGGUCAUAGUGAUCCGGUGGUUCUGUAUGGAAGGGCCAUCGCUCAACGGAUAAAAGGUACUCCGGGGAUAACAGGCUGAUACCGCCCAAGAGUUCAUAUCGACGGCGGUGUUUGGCACCUCGAUGUCGGCUCAUCACAUCCUGGGGCUGAAGUCGGUCCCAAGGGUAUGGCUGUUCGCCAUUUAAAGUGGUACGCGAGCUGGGUUUAGAACGUCGUGAGACAGUUCGGUCCCUAUCUGCCGUGGGCGUUGGAAGAUUGAAGGGGGCUGCUCCUAGUACGAGAGGACCGGAGUGGACGAACCUCUGGUGUUCGGGUUGUGUCGCCAGACGCAUUGCCCGGUAGCUAAGUUCGGAAUUGAUAAGCGCUGAAAGCAUCUAAGCGCGAAGCGAGCCCUGAGAUGAGUCUUCCCUGAUACUUUAAGUAUCCUAAAGGGUUGUUCGAGACUAGAACGUUGAUAGGCAGGGUGUGUAAGCGUUGUGAGGCGUUGAGCUAACCUGUACUAAUUG
rnacentral:rRNA from 1 species